UACAGAGGGUGCGAGCGUUAAUCGGAAUUACUGGGCGUAAAGCGUGCGUAGACGGCUAUCUAAGUCGGGUGUGAAAGCCCCGGGCUCAACCUGGGAAUUGCAUUCGAGACUGAAUAGCUAGGGUACGGUAGAGGGAAGUGGAAUUUCCGGUGUAGCGGUGAAAUGCGUAGAUAUCGGAAGGAACAUCAGUGGCGAAAGCGACUUCCUGGACCAGCACCGACGUUCAGGCACGAAAGCGUGAGGAGCAAACAGG
rnacentral:rRNA from 1 species